GUACAUAUUUGCUUUGGCAGUACCUAUUCUAAAUUGCAAUGAUACAGAGAAGAUUACCAGGCUCCUCCACAAGGAUACCGCACAAAUCGUAAAGCAUUCCACAAUUUU